GGGAAGUGCCUGGCCCCCAUCUGGUCCUUGCUGCUCUAACUUUGCCCUGUUAAUUGAAGAAAUGCAGCUAUAAACACUUCCUGGGUUGUUGCUGGCAUUUACUGUCCUCACAGUUUACAGGGAAGCCCAUAUUUUCAGCUUCUUCCUCUGCUUUCUGUCAUUUCUGAACCAUCUCACCCGACCUGGUGUAAUUUUCAUUGUGUGUGAGUUUGCACAGAUGUAAUUUGGGCCUACAUGUCUCCACAUAGCCUAAUGCCCACCUCCCACCUCCACUAGGAUCUGGAGCUCAGGACCCACUACCUCCCCGGCCCACUGCAAGCUUGAACAUUUGAUGGUGGACACCCCUCCCUGACUUUGUAUUAUGGUCCAGAUUUUGGAUGAAUCUCUAUAAUGGAGAUUGAACAGUGUCACUGGCGUGGGGGUUACCUUCCCACUAUGUCCCCCAGAAGACAUGAGGCCACAGACUGCAGUGCCCGUGGACAGAGGAGCUGUGGGGAUGGAAGUGUGAUUGCUUCAUUCAAAUGCACGCCCCGGUGCGUGUGCGUCUCUUCUGAUGCAGCGCCCCAUGGGCCCCUGGAUCCUCCUGGAAUCCGUGAUCCCUGUUGCUCCCUGGCGGAGUUUUCUAGUCCCUCUUACUUGAAGCAUGUCUUUCAGAGCCCGGCACCACCCAAGUUGGGUAUCUGGUGAAUUCUGUGGUCUGCAUGUCCAUGUUUGUGACAUUCUGGGAAGGGUGGCCCAGGCUGUGAUUUGCCAUCUACUGCAGGCUAUGGAUGGUAUUCAGAAGGGAGGGGAGAUGCUGUGUGCGUGUUCUGAAGGGUUUCCCACUAAACAGACCAACCCUCUCCAUAACUAUUUGAUUUUUACUUUAUCUCCUCGUUGACUUCACAGUGUCAGUGCAGUUUGUGUAAACAUCUCUAUGGGGUGAUGCAUGCAGAUAAAUGUUUAUGUGAACAUAUAAAGUCUGCAUGUGUGGGUGAACAGUCCACAUCAGGUCAUUGUCCAUCAUUACAUAUCUGUGGUGUCUGGC
rnacentral:lncRNA from 1 species